AAGGAAGGAAAAAAGGAAGGAAGGAAGGAAGGAAGGAAGGAAGGAGCGAGCACAUUCUUCCCAUAGUGGAGCAAAUGAUUGAGUUCACUCAAGAAAGUUGAUCAAGAAAUGCCACAUCUAAAGCCCUGCAGGAGGUUUGGUUGCAGACCCAGAACUUACAACUUCUAGACCAGCCAUGAUGGAACUUCCUCCCAUCUCCUUCCCAAGUGAUGUGUCUUGAGCUUCAUCCACAAUGCCACUGUUUGCUGAGCUCCUGAGGAAACACCACUUGAGCUGGAAAGAUCUCCUAGAAUCUCCAGGGAAUAGAAGACAGAAUUUAACCACGUUGUUUACUUUUUCUCAUGGACAAUUUGUGGCCAAAUGCAGUUUUCAUUUAUCAUGACCUAAGCUUAAAGAAAAUGUGUUGCCCAGUCAACCUUCCUUUCCCAAACUAUCUUUUCUGAAACACUGCACAUCCCAGAACGUAGAUUUUGAUUAUGUAAAAGGGGCAAGGUAUGAUGCAUGGGCAUAUAGCUACUGUUCCAUAUACAGAACAUUACCCUCAGCAGUGUUAACUUUCCAGCUGCAGAGAUCACUCAUGCAUAUGCAUAGUCCUCCAGGACCAGAAAAGGUAGGAUUAUUGUGUGUGUCUGAAAGUCUUAAUUAACAGAUUUCAAUGGGACGAAUGGUAGGUAAAACUUAGUACAAGCAUCACUUUAGUAGUAUGUCUUUGAAAAGGUAGGUUAUGCAGGAGAUGGACUGCAUAAUUACAGUGGUCUAAAAACUCAUGAAAAAUGUUAUCCAGUAUUUAUUGGGUAAAGAUAUAUGACAUAUAUUUUUUGAGCAAGAUGAAUACAGAGCUGCACUGGACUUCAACCUGCCUAGAAGCAGAAUUGGACUUUCUUUUCUUCUCAUCCACUUGAAUGAAUGGAGUCAACAGCAGGAAAUGUGAGCGUUUUUAACAGGUGAAGUGCAGGAAGGCAUUUAAUGAAAUUAAAUAUCAGAAAAUGUUAAGCCUAUAAAAGGAAAUACUUUUUCUAGGCUUCAUGUAAUUCAAUUCCAUUGCUUCUGGAAUACAUUUCAGAUAUAGGUAUAUAACCAAGCUACAGUACCUAACCAAGAGAAAUAUUUGUCAUAUGUCUCACAGUAACUGCUAACUGCAGUAACCGCUCAAAUGUUUGUAAUCUCAUCGCUGGAAGAUUAUCUUGCCAAACUUUUCAAAUUCCUACAGAUCUGUAUCACAAAAGUUGAGCACUGGCAAAUCCCUUCUAGCCAUUAUUGCGGAGGUCUGUGACAUCACUCUGCUCCUUUUGAUUGUAAGUCAUAAUGGGCAUCUUUCCCUCCAGCCAGAAGAAGAGGAGGAUAUAUCAGAGUCCAUAUCACUCGUUGUCAUUUAUUGCCAGGCAGAGAAAACCUGGUUGCUGGUUUGCUAUUAGAAGGAGUAAUAGAAUUCACCUCUCAACUAUCAAGUCAGCCAAAAAGGGCCAUUUUUUGUGUCCUGAAGGUCAUUAUCUCACUGCUGAGGAGACUAGUCUAAUCUAUUCCAUGCCUGCUUGUGCAGAUGAUGUUUGCUAGGAACCCUGCAGAUGUGGAGACAUGCUGAAUGUUUCAUUGCUUUUUUGUCCCUAUGGAACUCUUGUGUCAGAGGCCUGAAUUCUCCUUUUUUACUUUUUGGUAGCUACUGAUUUUUCUUUCUCUUCUAUCUCUCCUUUACCCACCAAUCAAAAGUGUGAUUUUUGUAAGGAAGGUCCUGCCAAGCAUGUUUCCAAAUGUCUAAUCCUGAAGGCAGGAGCACUUCCAAGGUAUAUAUUCUACUCAUUGGUCACAUUUAUCGUUUGACUCUUACUUCAGUGCUAUGUGCAGAUAAUCAAGGGCAUAGGAAUUUGACAGUGAUAGUGUAUGUGGAAUGAACUACGUCUAUACAUCAUUAUGGGAUAUAUAUUUGUAGACUCAGGCUGGUCCAAGGUGUAUAUGAGUCUGUUCUGUUAUAUGCUGGAAGAUUUUCCAACUGCUUCAAAGUUUUCCACUGUAAGGUUGCAUUUGAAGUUUUUCCUGCCUGCAUAACAGCUAUAUCUCCCUUUGGACAGUCCAGACUCCCAUGGAACUGUCCUGAAGAGCACUGCAGGGACAAUGCAAUAAAAUACACAUCUGAGUACACACCUUAUGUGUCUUUCCCCAGGUACUUUUGCACCUGACUGUAUAAUGGAAUUCAGUUUUUUAGUGAAGGGUCUGAAGUGUUUCUUAACUUUCAAACAUUGUUCUUUCUCUGUUAUGUUAUUAGGAAUCUCUACUUAGUGAUGUGCUGUUUGUUGUUCUGCAAUGUUAUUGGAAAUAUCUACUUAGUGAUGUACAGUUUGUUAUUUUGUGUUAUUUUAAUGAAAUUGUAUCCCGCAUAUGGUACUACACAGUUGAUUGCCAUAUUUAUCUAGGCUUCAGUUUUGUAAUGGCCUGUAGAUGCACCCAGGAGUUCCAAGUAUCAUGUAUUUAUGAAAGGAUUAAGUCAAGACAAAUUGUUUUGAAAUGCUAUACAAAUAAUGAUCCUCAAAACUAUAUUUCACUGGGUUUAUCUGUGCAUGUGACAACUGUGCUGAAAUAAUCUGAGAGUGCUCCUCUGAGUGAAGUUACUGGUCUCAACACUCCUGGCAAACAAAACGAUUUCUUUCUUCAGUAGCACAUACUCCUGUUUUAUUGUGUCUCAUUGUUGGCAGCAGGAGUGGAUUUUGAGGGCACAACACCUCAACGAGAUCCUGUAGCACAUAUGACAUUGCGACAAAGGGCUACAUUGCAGCAUAGAAUAUGACAGACACUGUGGCACUGUUUCAUGGCCAGUACUGCUUACAAAAACAAACAAACAAACAAAGCAGAAAACCUUUUAUGGGAAACAAAUAUUAGUACAGACUUUAGAGAGAGACCUAGAAAUCUUCAGGGGGGCCCUCACUUCUUGAAAGUUAUAUGAAACCCUUUUCACAAUGCCCUGCUUCUUCCCACCCCAAGAGGAAACCUAAUUCUCUGUAUAAAACAUAUUUCUUUGUGUUGGUACAUUUGAUUUUAAGUUGCACUUUAUAGAAGUAAUAAAGAGGAGCAUUAAUGAUCGAGUUAGAAAACAAGAGUCUAUGCUGACGUUUGUGGAACAUCGUUGCCAAUAGGCAUAUGUAAAGAUUUACUGUUUACAGCAGUGUGAGCUAUGAUGCCUUUGACUCAUGGGAGCUAUAUAUUUUGUUCUUUAAUGCUCAUUAGUGUUGUAGGUGGCUCAGAUUUUAAAAGGGUUUGCCUAGGUGGGUUGUCAGUUAGUGAUGAACAUAAUUGGUGCAGUGAAUCUUUCUGACAUCUCACAAUCAUAAUUAUUUUCAGAAUAUCAACAGAAGAGCUGUAAUGCAUGGUUUAUAGCAUUUUGCUGGUGCUUUGUGCAAUGGUGGGCUUUGUUUUGCAGCUAUAUCUACCACAGCAAAGCAGUUUUCUAUUCUCCCACUUUCUGUGGCAUUCUCCAUCUGAAAUCUGUUCAUAUGACAUAUGCCCAAAGCUGUGGGAUUCACUAAGAUUGCACGGAUGUAGCUAAAAUCUACAAUUUGGUGAUAACGUUUUAAAUUAUGAAUUUCAUAGCUAUAACAUCUCUUUCUAGAAUUCAAAAGUUUAAUUACACAAAAUCAAUGCUAACCAGGCAGGGAAAUACUAGGGCAUUAAAUUAAAUGAAUCUAACAGUGAAAAGUUACUCAGUGUGCUGAAUGUUACCAAAUACUCAUGAAGAUUUCUAUUUUCUCUUGGUGAUCUGCGAUGGAAUGCACCUCCUGCUCUCAGAGCCACUGCUCUGCAUUGGCUCAUGCCCAAGCCUCUCACUGGGGCAGCAGCCAAAGCCCUGAUCUGCACUCGUGGUGCUUGUCCCUUGUGCUUUUUCCCUGGGGUAUGAGGUCAUCAUCUGCUUUCAAGCUGUGAGGCCCGCAAACCCAACUCUGUGUCUCAAGACCUCUUUCAAUAUCUGGAGAUCAACAGUCUUGUGGGCCAGUCUCACAGCUCCUUGAGCUCAUAUAGUACUUGGGCAUGAGCAGCUGACUCCUGCAACAGGAACUAGGAGAAGUUGAGCAAGCUAGUCAUGCAGGAGGCUGGAGACAACACCAUCUCCUUAGGCACCCUCUUCUUGCUGAAGAGAAGG